CUUUAUUCUUAUCCUCCUGGGUUUUACUAGGAUUUAAGUCUAAUUAUGGUUCUGGAAGUAAAGAAAGGUAGUCCAUGGGUCUAAAAGAGAGUCUGCAUUUCUUGCAAGCUCCUGGCACAGUUCCUGAUGCAGCUUCAGCACAAAGCAGGAGAUGGACAAAAAAAUAUGUUUUCAAUAAAUACCCAAAGACAUGAGUGAAGACAGCUACAUUAGAAUGUUGAAGGAUAGGAUGGGGAUUCCCCCAAUCAAAUCAAACAGGGAAGACUCCUUAGUUGUUUCAUCUGCUCAAGGGGGUUAAUAUCUCCUUCAUAGGGAUGUUCUGAGAAUGAAAUUAUAUGAUAGAUGAAAAGUACUUAGCACAAUGCUGAGCACAAAAUAAGCACUUAGUACGUUGUUCCAUUAUAAGCUGUGAACUCCACAUAAAGUGGUUUCUUAGAUACAACAAACCAUGUCUUUGAGAACAGAGGGGCAGUUGUUCUCCUGAAAUUAAAUCCUGCAUCUCA